UACGUAGGGUGCAAGCGUUGUCCGGAAUUAUUGGGCGUAAAGAGCUCGUAGGCGGUUUUGUUGCGUCGGCUGUGAAAUCCCGAGGCUCAACCUCGGGUCUGCAGUCGAUACGAGCAAACUAGAGUGUUGCAGGGGAGACUGGAAUUCCCGGUGUAGCGGUGAAAUGCGCAGAUAUCGGGAAGAACACCCGUGGCGAAGGCGGUUCUCUGGGCCUUACCUGACGCUGAGGAGCGAAAGCGUGGGGAGCGAACAGG
rnacentral:rRNA from 1 species